UAAUAAAAAAAAAUUAUAACCUCAAAAGUAAAUAAUUAAAAAGGAAAUAGCCCUUAUUCAAAUGCAUAAAGUUCAUUAAAACAUGUUAAUCUAAGGAUUGUGCUUCAAAGUAGAAAAUAUGCUUAAUUAAAUUAUACUUUACUUACAUCUGCCUGCACAGAAAUUACAAAAGCUUCCUAAGUCAGUUUUUAUAUUAAGAUAUAUCACCUCCCAAAUUUAUAGAAUGUCAUAAGCUUCAGAUGUGCAAAAUUUGCUAUUUGAUUGGACUAGAUAUUAACACAGCAAAGAAGCUCAAAAGGUAAAUGAAACUCAUCGUUGAUAGCAAAAAAAUCAAACCAAAACAAAACAAAAACCUCACCUGAGACAGAGGGGAUGCUCAUCCAGGACAAAGGAGUUUUCCAGGUGUGAAAGAACCCAUUGUUGUAGAUGAACUGACAGAACCUAGGAGUACGUGGACACGAUAUCAACAAAAGCGAUGAUAUCUAUGAAUGCAUCCCUCUGUGAGACUCCAGGAUGUAAGUAUUACUGUCCUGCUGGAAAAAUCUGUGGGUCACAAAAUUUUUGGCAGAUUUUUAAGAUAAAAGAAUAGAGACAAAUAGCAUCAUCCUUUUGUACCCUUCAAUUCUGAAGGAAGUUAUCUGGUCUGUGAGCCAGGAAGAUCAGAGAACGUGAAAGGCAGGAGGGCCAACAUACACUGGUGAGAAAGAGAAGGGAUAUAGAAAUACUGACUCUGUGACUUACAAAAGAAACAAUAUAUCCAACAUUAAGCAGGAGCAGGCUGUGGUCUAUUUUAGAGACAUUGUGUCCAGGAAGGCCUGACUGCAGGCCUGACUAGUGGGGUGUACCCUGUGCUUGCAAAACCUCAUGCUUAUGGAACAACUCAAGGUAGAUUUCUGUGCAAGAAUUCAACAUAUCUACAAGAAAAAAGACUGCACCAAGCUCACCCUGGUCUAACCUGUCUGAACUUUAAACACUCAAUAAGCUGUUCUCUUGCCUUCUGAGUUGUAGAGCGCCCUCCUGUGGUGAACAACGGUACUGCGCAUGCGCAGGCUUUGCACCUGGCAUCAGUUGGCAGGUAAUAUGCUAAUGAGGGAGCAGCACCAUGCUAAUAAGAUAACUCAUGCUCCGCCAAUCCCUGAAGGACAAUUAGCAUAGCCUCAGCCUGCUGUCUAUAUAAGGCGAGCGCUUGAGGUUCCCCUGUCCCUGUUCAAGAGAGCUGUACAGUAAACGCUUUGCUGCAAAAGGAUCCUGGUGUCCGCGUGCAUUCUUGCAGGCGAGACGAUAGCAUGGGACACUGAGUUGACUGAAAGUUAGCACAGGGUGUGAAGGAAUCAAAUUCUUCUGGAAUGUCUAUGCAACAUGUAUGUAGUUGGUGUUCAUGGAGAUCAGAAGAGGCUGACAGAUUCCUUGCAACUGGAACUACAGACAGCUGUGAACUGCCAUGUGCAUGCUAGAAAUCAAGCCCUGGUCCUCUGUGAGAGCAAAGAGAUUACAGCUAUUUUCAGUGGGAGGAGCUAAAAAGCCAGAACAUCAAGAUAUACCAGUGUGAGAAAAAUGGUUAAACGUCAAUGUGUCAGUGGUGCAAGAUUCUAGGAAAUAACAGUAAGUGAGGAGCCAGCACAAAGAGAAGUGGAAGAAACCAUUGUUUGUUCUGUUGUUAAUAUUGUUUGGAGUUUUUCUUUUUGACACGUUUUUACUCUGUAGUAUGGACUAGCCUGGAACUCAUAUGCAACUCAGACUUGUCUUGAACUUGUUACCAUCCUAGUGCUUCAGUCUCUUAUGCGCUGGGACUACAGCAACCUUCUCAGGCUGGACUUAAAAGAAGACAGAAGCUGUGAAUUUGCCAGAGAUCAUGGAGAGGUAUAUAGAAGUGUUUGGAGGGAAGAAAUGAAAUGGAAAAGAACUUUGAAAAUAAAAGACUAAUAAUUCUUAAAUUAUCAGACAAUACGAAAUAAUAACAUGUCCAUCAAGGCAGUUUAGUCCUUUCAGCCUGGGGCUUUUCCAGUCCGUAGAGUCUUUUCAUGAGUUAGGGGGUAGGGGGAAAGAAAGGAAAUACAGGAGAAAACACUCAGCUGGUCCAUGUGCACACCUCAACUCUGAGCUGCCAUGGGUUCUGCACAAUUACAAGUGUGGUAUGAAUGCCCACUGCACGUGCAAUUCUUUAAGCCAUUUGUAAACAUUUGUAUGUUUCUUAUAAUGUAGCAAAUUUAUCAAUUUGCAGCUUAAGUUUUUAUUCAGCUUAACAGUUUCAAACUUAA